rnacentral:rRNA from 1 species
AUUGAACGCUGGCGGAAUGCUUUACACAUGCAAGUCGAACGGCAGCACGGGGGCAGCCCUGGUGGCGAGUGGCGAACGGGUGAGUAAUACAUCGGAACGUGCCCGGUCGUGGGGGAUAACGUAGCGAAAGUUACGCUAAUACCGCAUACGAUCUGAGGAUGAAAGCGGGGGACCUUCGGGCCUCGCGCGAUCGGAGCGGCCGAUGUCAGAUUAGGUAGUUGGUGGGGUAAAGGCCUACCAAGCCGACGAUCUGUAGCUGGUCUGAGAGGACGACCAGCCACACUGGGACUGAGACACGGCCCAGACUCCUACGGGAGGCAGCAGUGGGGAAUUUUGGACAAUGGGCGCAGGCCUGAUCCAGCCAUUCCGCGUGCAGGACGAAGGCCUUCGGGUUGUAAACUGCUUUUGUACGGAACGAAAAGGCUCUGGCUAAUACCUGGGGCUCAUGACGGUACCGUAAGAAUAAGCACCGGCUAACUACGUG